rnacentral:rRNA from 1 species
UACGUAGGUCCCGAGCGUUGUCCGGAUUUAUGGGGCGUAAAGCGAGCGCAGGUGGUUUAUUAAGUCUGGUGUAAAAGGCAGUGGCUCAACCAUUGUAUGCAUUGGAAACUGGUAGACUUGAGUGCAGGAGAGGAGAGUGGAAUUCCAUGUGUAGCGGUGAAAUGCGUAGAUAUAUGGAGGAACACCGGUGGCGAAAGCGGCUCUCUGGCCUGUAACUGACACUGAGGCUCGAAAGCGUGGGGAGCAAACAGG